rnacentral:rRNA from 1 species
GAUGAACGCUAGCGGCAGGCUUAACACAUGCAAGUCGAGGGGUAUAGUUCUUCGGAACUAGAGACCGGCGCACGGGUGCGUAACGCGUAUGCAAUCUACCUUUUGCAGAGGGAUAGCCCAGAGAAAUUUGGAUUAAUACCUCAUGGUAUGUGAGAAUGGCAUCAUUUUCACAUUAAAGUCACAACGGCAAAAGAUGAGCAUGCGUCCCAUUAGCUUGUUGGUAAGGUAACGGCUUACCAAGGCAACGAUGGGUAGGGGUCCUGAGAGGGAGAUCCCCCACACUGGUACUGAGACACGGACCAGACUCCUACGGGAGGCAGCAGUGAGGAAUAUUGGACAAUGGGCGCAAGCCUGAUCCAGCCAUGCCGCGUGCAGGAUGACGGUCCUAUGGAUUGUAAACUGCUUUUGUACAGGAAGAAACACUGGUUCGUGAACCAGCUUGACGGUACUGUAAGAAUAAGGAUCGGCUAACUCCGUGCCAGCCGCCGCAGUAAAAC